UUGAAAGGGAAACGAUUGAAGUCAGUCAUGCCGGUGAGAAUCAACUUGGGAUAACUUCCAAGUGCAUUUCUUCGCUUGGCAGGUUAGCGUCGAUUUUGAACGUCAUAAAUUGAUUGGGGGAAGGUAGCUCUUUCGGGAGUGUUAUAGCCCUUAGUUAAUGUGAUGUUCGGGAUCGAGGUUGGCAACGGAUACCUUUAAGGCUAGCCGCCUGGCCUCUGAUUCGAUGUCGGGUUAUAGACAGCAUGCUGACUAUGGUCUGAUUAUUGGUCAAAAGGUUAGAGCGAGCAUAAAUUCGUUAAGGAUGUUGACGUA
rnacentral:rRNA from 1 species